rnacentral:lncRNA from 13 species
CUCUUCAUAUCAGUAUACUCUCACAAAUCCACAAGUUCUGUGCUCCUCCCUCCUCCUCCCCGAUUUCCUUUUAGUGGAAAUCUUGUUUGCCUAGUUUUCGACCAUGGCAUUUUGAAAGAGGGUAGACGGAUGUGGACCCAAAUGUCUUCCCUGUCAUUUCCUCAGCGAAGCGCCACUGGCCCAGAACUCGACUGUCAACUGUGAAAACAGGGCGGGGUUGUUGGAGAUGGAAAUGGCUUUGUUUAGCAGUUACAGUAAGACACGCUUGUGUUUGUCUCCUCAGCUCUGUACGAAAGCUCUGUAGGAGUAACAAAAGCACACGGGCUCUUGUCAACUUCCACCCUGAACUUCAGCUCAAGCAGCACCGUUGCAACGUUCCUGUUUCAAGCUGGAUCCCUUCCUGAAGAUAAGACAAAGUGUUUCUGCGACGCUCCGUAAAGGACAAAUAAAUAGUGGGGGGAAAAAACGAGAUCUUUAGCAGCACAGCAUGCAGGGCUAAAUCUAACCUUCAGGGGUGUAUUUUUUCUCGUGCGAUUCCAAUGAAAGCAGCAGAAACAAACACAGCCUCAUACCAGGACAUGCUAUUUGUUUUCCUUCAGGCGCUCGAUAUUUGCACUGCUUUACAGUAUGUGAGGCGUGACAGAAAAUACAUCUGAUUUUAUUUCUCCAAUGGGAAGCUCUGCGUUUUUUGCAUAUGGAGCUCAUCACAGACAAACGACUUGUUAAUGCCAGGUUACUUCAGCUGGAAAGCUGUUUUCAAGCGCCAGGCCAAGCUAUUGAAGAAACACAUGUAAUGAAACACCAGCCAUGAAGCCCCAAUACUCCCCACUCCUGUGAUUCUGCUGCACUCCCCAUAACAAAGAACUCAAUCUUUAAAGAGCUUUUACUUGUGGAGCGAAGCAAAGCUUCCAUCUAGGGCCUGAGCAAAUCAUUAUUGCACAGAUAAGGAUCAGAACUGAGGCAGAUGUCUGCUGGCUUUACAAUAUGUGCAUGGAGAUGACCUGCAAGGCCCCUGCCAGCGUACAGUGCUGAGGCGUCUCAGUUUGCUUUCUCUCAGACAUGUUGAAGCUAGCUGGAAUCCACUGGGGUUGCAUUGCAGCUAGGUGGUCUUGAUUUUGCCUCAGGAGGCUAAUGUGCGUGCCAAAUGGCAUCUUAUUCCUAUAUAGAGUGCUACAGGACUUUUGAGCAGAGCCCUAUGGGACCUGGUCGGAAGUAGUGCACUAUAUAUGGAAUAGGGUGUCAUUUGAGACACUAUCUGUGGUGGUCAACUGAGUCACAUUGUUCUUGGGACUGGAAGUGGAGUGUUAUGUUUUUCCCUAUUGAUGCCCAGAGCAGCUGUCUCAAUGAAACACUUUCAGUACAGUUGAUUUGUUAAGAAGGAAACAUUAGGAGGGG